UGGGGAAUAUUGGACAAUGGGCGCAAGCCUGAUCCAGCAAUGCCGCGUGAGUGAUGAAGGCCUUAGGGUUGUAAAGCUCUUUCGCACGCGACGAUGAUGACGGUAGCGUGAGAAGAAGCCCCGGCUAACUUCGUGCCAGCAGCCGCGGUAAUACGAAGGGGGCUAGCGUUGUUCGGAAUUACUGGGCGUAAAGGGCGCGUAGGCGGCCUGUUUAGUCAGAAGUGAAAGCCCCGGGCUCAACCUGGGAAUAGCUUUUGAUACUGGCAGGCUUGAGUUCCGGAGAGGAUGGUGGAAUUCCCAGUGUAGAGGUGAAAUUCGUAGAUAUUGGGAAGAACACCGGUGGCGAAGGCGGCCGUCUGGACGGACACUGACGCUGAGGCGCGAAAGCGUGGGGAGCAAACAGGAUUAGGAUACCCUGGUAGUCCACGCCGUAAACGAUGAAUGCUAGACGUCGGGGUGCAUGCAGCUUCGGUGUCGCCGCUAACGCAUUAAGCAUUCCGCCUGGGGAGUACGGCCGCAAGGUUAAAACUCAAAGG
rnacentral:rRNA from 1 species